UGCCCGAGCUGCGUGAGGGGAUGGUUUCCUUUUUCAUCUUACCUUCGUCUGCCCGUGGAUGGGUUCCCGCUCCUCUGGGAGGCCGUGGGCAGAGCCGUCCGCUCUCCACUGCGGGAGGCUCGGAGCCGGUGUCCCGGGAAAAAAAUUAGGUUCAGAGGCGUUUAGUGACUUGUCCAAAGGCAUGUGCAAGUGCAGUGGCAACAUCAAGCCAGUGAUCCAACCUUAAUCCAGAGCAGGAGCCCCCAAACAGACUGUCAUGGGUUUCCAUCCAGAAAUGACAGAAAUGGAUCACAGCUGCAGUGCGACUGUAGCAGGAUCUUCAGGCCAGUUUGCAGCAGCAGGUUUAGAGGUCAGUAGCUAUGGAUCACAAGAGACACAAAGCACUCAUAUGGAGAGAUCCCAACAUUCAUUUUUUCAUGAACACAAGUCUUACCUAGGGACACUGCACUGAGUCAGGGUCAGUGCAGAGCACUACACCUUGCAGGACUAGGUCCUUUGCUGAUUUUUAUGCAUCUGCUCAGGUUUAGUUUUGUUCAAAAUGUUAUAACAGUAUUUCCAAGCUCAGAUAAACCAUUUAAAACGUGGAAACAAUAAAUGCCUGUUGGACAAGCAA
rnacentral:lncRNA from 1 species